rnacentral:rRNA from 1 species
GUUGAACGCUGGCGGCAGGCCUAACACAUGCAAGUCGAGCGGAGCGGCGGACGGGUGAGUAAUGCCUAGGAAUCUGCCUGGUAGUGGGGGCUAACGUCCGGAAACGGGUGCUAAUAACGCAUACUAUCAGUGCAGCCUAGGUCGGAUUAGCUAGUUGGUGGGGUAAUGGCCUACCAAGGCGACGAUCCGUAACUGGUCUGAGAGGAUGAUCAGUCACACUGGAACUGGGACACGGUCCAGACUCCUACGGGAGGCAGCAGUGGGGAAUAUUGGACAAUGGGCGAAAUCCUGAUCCAGCCAGGCCGCGUGUGUGAAGAAGGUCUUCGGAUUGUAAAGCACUUUAAGUUGGGAGGCGUUACCAACAGAAUAAGCACCGGCUAACUUCGUGCCAGCAGCCGCGGUAAUAC